UAGAAGGCACAAAUUAUAACGAAAGCUACCUUAAAAUAAACACAAAUAUAUAACAGGGACAACAAUAUGUCUAUUCAUCACUAGUCAAAAAACAAAGUUGAAAGAAACUAUACAGGGCACGCUAUUUUCGUAGAAAAGGACAAAAAACGAUUGAAAAUUAAAAGAACAAAAAAAAACAAAGAAGACGCCCACAGCUUUCGAAAUCAAAUCAAAUGAAAAGAACGUAGUAGAAUCUUGGCGAGUUUACUAAAAAAAAAAGAGAAUCGUGGCGAGCUUGUCCUUUUAUCAAACAAUAGUAGAAAAGUAAUCUUGUGGAAAACAUCUUAAUAAAACAUCUUACAAUAUCUUAAUAAAACAUCAUCGUUUCUUUUGAAAGCUUUACUUUCUCUAUCUUUUUAAUAUCUUGGCUCCGGGAGAUUCAGUUUGUAAACUCGCUGGCUUGUGUCUCUAAGGGAUUUGUAAUCCUUGUCAGCUUAGUGAUGUAACAGUCGGUUUCAAAUGUUCGAAUAAUUUAUCGAUACAAAAAAAUAUAUAUCAUAUUUCGUUCCUAAGAUUUCAAUAGAAUGAGCGUAGAGCUCUGUUCAUUUUUGAAGAUAAAUUUGCUUUCGAAUUGCAGUAGA
rnacentral:lncRNA from 1 species